rnacentral:rRNA from 1 species
UACGUAGGGUGCGAGCGUUGUCCGGAAUUAUUGGGCAUAAAGAGCUUGUAGGCGGUUUGUCGCGUCUGCUGUGAAAAUCCGGGGCUCAACCCCGGACUUGCAGUGGGUACGGGCAGACUAGAGUGUGGUAGGGGAGACUGGAAUUCCUGGUGUAGCGGUGGAAUGCGCAGAUAUCAGGAGGAACACCGAUGGCGAAGGCAGGUCUCUGGGCCACUACUGACGCUGAGAAGCGAAAGCAUGGGGAGCGAACAGG